CCAUGAAAGUUGAUGAUCGAUAAAACGAAUUAUCGAGGGCGUGGGUGGUCGUAACAACUGCCUACGCCUUCGCGUUGAACCGGUCAUUAAUGAUUGGGGCG
rnacentral:rRNA from 1 species